rnacentral:rRNA from 1 species
GGCGAACGCUGGCGGCAGGCUUAACACAUGCAAGUCGAGCGGGCACCUUUCGGGGUGUCAGCGGCGGACGGGUGAGUAACGCGUGGGAACGUGCCCUCUGGUUCGGAAUAACUCAGGGAAACUUGAGCUAAUACCGGAUACGCCCUUUUGGGGAAAGGCUUGCUGCCGGAGGAUCGGCCCGCGUCUGAUUAGCUAGUUGGUGAGGUAACGGCUCACCAAGGCGACGAUCAGUAGCUGGUCUGAGAGGAUGAUCAGCCACACUGGGACUGAGACACGGCCCAGACUCCUACGGGAGGCGGCAGUGGGGAAUAUUGGACAAUGGGCGCAAGCCUGAUCCAGCCAUGCCGCGUGAGUGAUGAAGGCCUUAGGGUUGUAAAGCUCUUUUAUCCGGGACGAUAAUGACGGUACCGGAGGAAUAAGCCCCGGCUAACUUCGUG